rnacentral:miRNA from 1 species
AAGUGCCGUCAAGGUUGAGCUU